GACCUCUAGUCGGAAAAGACUACCCGCUGAGUUUAAGCAUAUCACUAAGCGGAGGAGAAGAAACGAACCAGG
rnacentral:rRNA from 1 species